CUCAACUAUGUGGGUUUCAGCAACUGAACUCAAGUCUUCAGCUUUCCCCAUCAGAUGCCAGCUCUACAAGGAAACUACAAUCAUGGAUUCUUCAGGUGCCUUCAUUUGAUAUACAAAAUGUCUCUCUUCGUUAGCUUUAAUUGUCAACUUGGCCCAGCCUAGAAGAUCUGAGAGGAGAACUUCAAUUAAGGAACUGUCUACAUCAGAUGGGCAUGAUUGUAAGGGGUUAUCUUGACUGGUAUUGAUAUGAAAGGGCACAUCCCACUGUGGGUGGCACCACUGCCUAGUUAAGUGGUUUUGAAUCACCAAUCAUAAGCUGGCAAGUGAGCCAGAAAACAGCAUCCUCCAUGGUUCCUGCUCAAUUUUCUGUCUGUGAAGUGAGUUCCUUGGUGCUUGGUCAGUGACAACGCUGCACGAAACAGCAAGAAGGCCUACCUUCCGUUUCCUGAUUUGCCUUCCUGCAUUAACAGACCGUGACCUGGAAUUAAAAGCAGAAUAAACUCUUCCCUUUUC
rnacentral:lncRNA from 1 species